ensembl:snRNA U2 U2 spliceosomal RNA
AUUGCCUCUGGGCCUUUUGGCUACGAUCAAGUGUAGUAUCGGUUCUUAUCAGUUUAGUAUGUGGUACGUCCUUUAUCCAAGGACAACAUGUUAAAUGGAUUUCUGAAAUUAGGGGAUGGAUAGCAGCUUCCUCCAUGCAUUGACCCGGUAUUGCAGUGCCUCCUGGAAUGACGCACCCCCU